UACGGAGGGUGCAAGCGUUAAUCGGAAUCACUGGGCGUAAAGCGCGCGUAGGCGGCUUGGUAAGUCAGGCGUGUAAGCCCACGGCUCAACCGUGGAAUUGCGUUUGAAACUAUUUAGCUUGAGUACAGGAGAGGAAGGCGGAAUUCCCAGUGUAGCGGUGAAAUGCAUUGAUAUUGGGAAGAACACCGGUAGCGAAGGCGGCCUUCUGGUCUGAUACUGACGCUGAGAUACGAAAGCCAGGGGAGCGAACGGG
rnacentral:rRNA from 1 species